CAUCCAUUUUUAGCGACUUUUUCCAUUUUUCAUAAGUGGCCAAAAAACAGCAAAAAAGUAAGGCUAUAGGCUUAACUUUUCGUCCAUUUUUAGCGACUUUUUCCAUUUUUCAUAAGUGGCCAAAAAAACAGCAAAACAGCCUUAACUUUUCAUCCAUUUUUAGCGACUUUUUCCAUUUUUCAUAAGUGUACAAAAAAUAUCAAAAAAGUAAGGCUAUAGGCUUAAAUUUUCAUCCAUUUUAGCGACUUUUUCCAUUUUACAUAAGUGGCCAAAAAACAGCAAAAAAGUAAGGCUAUAGGCUUAACUUUUCGUCCAUUUUUAGCGACUUGUUCCAUUUUUCAUAAGUGGCCAAAAUACUGCAAAAAAGUAAGGCUAUAGGCUUAACUUUUCGUCCAUUUUUAGCGACUUUUUCCAUUUUACAUAAGUGGCCAAAAAACAGCAAAAAAGUAAGGCUAUAGGCUUAACUUUUCAUCCAUUUUUAGCGACUUCCAUUUUUCAUAAGUGGGCAAAAAAACAGCAAAAAAGUAAGGCUAUAGGCUUAACUUUUCAUCCAUUUUUAGCGACUUUUUCCAUUUUUCAUAAGUGGCCAAAAAACAGCAAAAAAGUAAGGCUAUAGGCUUAACUUUUCGUCCAUUUUUACCGAAUUUUUCCAUUUUUCAUAAGUGGAAAAAAAACAGCAAAAAAGUAAGGCUAUAGGCUUAACUUUUCGUCCAUUUUUAGCGACUUUUUCCAUUUUUCAUAAGUGGCCAAAAAAACGGCAAAACAGCCUUAACUUUUCAUCCCUUUUUAGCGACUUUUUCCAUUUUUCAUAAGUGUACAAAAAACAUCAAAAAAGUAUGGCUAUAGGCUUAAAUUUUCAUCCAUUUUAGCGACUUUUUCCAUUUUUCGUAAGUGACCAAAAAACAGCAAAAAGUAAGGCUAUAGGCUUAACUUUUCCUCCAUUUUUACCGACUGUUUCCAUUUUUGAUAAGUGGUCAAAAAAACACCAAAAAAGUAAGGCUAUAGGCUUAGCUUUUCGUCCAUUUUUACCGACUGUUUCCAUUUUUGAUAAGUGGCCAAAAAACAGCAAAAAAGUAAGGCUAUAGGCUUAACUUUUCGUCCAUUUUUAGCGGCUUUUUCCAUUUUUUCGUAAGUGGCCAAAAAACAGCAAAAAAGUAAGGCUAUAGGCUUAACUUUUCGUCCAUUUUUAGCGACUUUUUCCAUUUUUCGUAAGUGGCCAAAAAACAGCAAAAAAGUAAGGCUAUAGGCUUAACUUUUCGUCCAUUUUUAGCGACUUUUUCCAUUUUUCAUAAGUGGCCAAAAAACAGCAAAAAAGUAAGGCUAUAGGCUUAACUUUUCAUCCAUUUUUAGCGACUUUUUCCAUUUUUCAUAAGUGGCCAAAAAACAGCAAAAAAGUAAGGCUAUAGGCUUAACUUUUCGUCCAUUUUUAGCGACUUUUUCCAUUUUUCAUAAGUGGCCAAAAAACAGCAAAAACAGCCUUAACUUUUCGUCCAUUUUUAACGACUUUUUCCAUUUUUUAUAAGUGGCCAAAAAACACCAAAAAAGUAAGGCUAUAGGCUUAACUUUUCGUCCAUUUUUAGCGACUUUUUCCAUUUUUCAUAAGUGGCCAAAAUACAGCAAAACAGCCUUAACUUUUCGUCCAUUUUUAACGACUUUUUCCAUUUUUCGUAAGUGGCCAAAAAACACCAAAAGGUAAGGCUAUAGGGCUUAACUUUUCGUCCAUUUUUAGCGACUUUUUCCAUUUUUUAUAAGUGGUCAAAAAACAGCAAAACAGCCUUAACUUUUCAUCCAUUUUUAGCGACUUUUUCCAUUUUUCAUAAGUGGCCAAAAAACACCAAAAGGUAAGGCUAUAGGCUUAACUUUUCGUCCAUUUUUAGCGACUUUUUCCAUUUUUCAUAAGUGGCCAAAAAACAGCAAAAAA